CCUUUCUUCCUUCCUUUUUUUUUUUUUUUUCCAGAGCUGAGGACCGAACCCAGGGCCUUGCGCUUGCUAGGCAAGCACUCUACCACUGAGCUAAAUCCCCAACCCCACUAAUAAACUCUUUAUUCCCCAGUUAUCUGUCUCCGUGUCUUCCUGACACCCUCACCCUACCCUCAUCCGCCACCCUCACCCCUUCUGCCCCCACCAUCAACAGGUUCCACUCUGACUCAGGCUCAGAGGGGUGGAGACUGAGUGGGCUGUGCACCCCUGCACGCCUCCUCCCAACCCUUCCCUGCUUGCACUUGAGUCCUGCACAUUUUGGUUCCCCUCCUACAACCUCAUCUGCUUCCCCGGAGCUUGCUUGUCUGUCUGUGCUGUGGGAUCCAGACUUACUCAUACAGCAGCGUCCCGAAUUCCCCAGAGUGAGUGACUUACUAAGAACAGAAGGCUAUUUUGGCCCGUGGUGCUGGAGGCCCAUCCAAGAUCUGGUGAGCGCCCCCUGCUGCUGGACAGCCGCUGUCCACGGAAGAAUUCACUCCCACAAGAAGGCAUCAGUGGCUGUCACUGACAGCUCCGAGAAGUCCACUGCACCGAGGACCUGGUUUCCCGCGCCUGGUCUAGUCCCCUCUGACCUCAGGGUGGAGCACCGCGAAUCAGAGCCCUCCUGCCUGCCCUGAGCUGUCGACAUACUCCCUGUGGAUGCUGAGGACAAUGGAUGCUGGUCAGCUGGAGCUGAGAAACUGGUGGUGAUUAAGAAGAGACCAGCAUUGUUGAGAGAACAACAAAACCAGUCAGAGGACAAAAGCCAUUCAAGAUGUCUGCCUGGGACUCCACAGCACAUCCCUGAGGAUGUGUAGAUGUUUGGGGUUAUUUGGUUUAUGAGGAAGCCAGCCCUGUCUGAACUGCUGUCCUGAUGUGAUCCUAACACACAGCUUGGUAGAUGGUGGAUGUGAGUGUGCAUACAUAGGAGGUGGAAGCAGAUAUAAAAGUGUGCACGUGGCCAGGCACCGUGGCGCGUGUCUUUAACCCCAGAGCUCAGGAGGCAGAGGUAGGUGGAUCUCUGUGAGUUCUAGGCCAGCCUGGUCUACAGAGCGAGUUCCAGGACAGCCAGGGCUACAUAAUAAGGCCCUGUCCUCAGGGUCUACUAUUUGAUCCAAGACAUGUGAGUAGGAAUAUAUUCUGAUAAAGCCAUAGUAAGUAGGAAUGGAAGUCUCCUGCUUUGGGCGAGGAAUACAUUUUGUAUGUUAUUUUCCUUUUUUUUUUAAACAAACAAACGGUGCUGGAGAGAUGCUCAGUGGGUUGAGAGUGCUUGUCGUAUAAACAGGAGAGCCUGAGUCCAGAUCCUCAGCGCCCCGUUUACAAAAACAAGUGUUGAGGGAGGUGGAGAUGGGGAUCUUCUGGACUUGCUGGCCACAGUCCUCUCUCCAGGUUCAGUGAGGGACCCACCUCAAAGGAGUAAAGAGUGACAGGGUGCACACACACACACACACACACACACACACACACACACACACACAGGGACACACGGACAUGGACACACACACCACACCCAUGCACACAAUGGUUACACACACAAAACAAAAACCACACGUGAAAACAGCUGCUGGGUGUAGAGGCAAAAACCAUCUCUUGGCAAGCUGAGGAGGGUCCUGAGCCUGAGGCCGGGCUGGGCUAUGAUGGAGACUUCAAAGUGUGAUUCAGCCAAAGUCUUUAAAUUGUAGAACUAGUAGUUGGAUGAGUAGAGAAUCUGAGCUAUACUGAGCGAUAAAUUAUCAAAACUCAUGUUAUAUAUACAUACAUAUGAAUUGCAUUUUAUUUUUUUAACCUUUCUUUCCUUGGUGUGCACAGUGUGGAUGUGUGGCCCAGGACAGCUUGCAGGAGUUGGUUCUCUCCCGCCGCCGUGUGGGUCCCAAGGAUAAACUGGUUAUCAGUCUUGGUGACAAGAACCACAACGGAGCCAUCUCAUUGGCCCUAUAUAUUUUUUAUAGGUUAUUUAUCCAUGUAUAUUUAUUUAUAGGUUAUAAAAUCAUAAUCUUCAUAUAUAUAUUUAUUCCUGGCUGUCCUGGAACUCGAUAUGUAGACCAAACUGUCUUGUUACAGACAUCCACCUGCCUCCACUACGCCCAGUUACUUUUUGCACCUCUAUCUGUAUCUGUAUGUGCACCACAUGCAUGCAGAUACCUAUGGAAGCCAGAUGAGGGCGUCAGUGUCUCUGGAGCUGAGCUCCAGGUGGUUGUGAGUCGCCCACUGUGGGUGCUGGGGACCGAACCUGGGUCCUCUGUAAGGGCAGCAGGGCUCUUGGGCGGUAAACGGCCUCUCCAGCUGCAUCCCUGUCAUGAUAUUCAUGAGUCAUUUGUACAGUUAAUGCAGCCAGUGAAAUAAUGUCCAGCAGACGGCUUGAUUCACAGCCUGCUGAUGCAGAUUUUCCAUUCUCUCCUUGGAGACUUGAGGCAAUCUGCCCAACUGUCCCCAAGGAAUGAAGGGCCAGGGUGGGGCGAGGGGGUCAUUUUACUCGUCAACAACAUGGCUUUUCUCUGGUUAUUUUAGCCACAGUGACACUGUGGAGGUCACUUCUGCUCCCUGUACACAGUCCUACACCGCAGUGAGAGUGUGUUGAGCAUCUGGGUUCCUGUGCAUGCACUGUGCAGUCAUUACCAGCGAAGAACCCGGAGGAGGACACAGGCAGAGGGCAGGAGCCAAGAGUCUCUCCAGGCACCAUCUACCACUGGUGUAAAUGGAGAAGAAGCCUUUGACUUGCUUGUGAUAGAGCUGGGGGCCCAGCUCAGCUGUAAGGUGUUUGCCUAGCUCCCCAACCCCAGGAAGGGGCUAGGGUGUGAUGCAGUUGUAGGGUGCUUGCCUAGCCCCCCCACAGUGAGGGGCUAGGAUGUGACUCCACUGUGGGGUGCUUGUCUAGACUUCCCCAGUUGGGGGCUGGGGUGUGUCUCAGCUGUGGGAUUCUUGUCUAGGCUACUCCAGUGAGGGGCUGGGGUGUGUCUCAGCUGUGGGGUACUUGUCCAUACUCCCCCAGUGAGGGGCUGGGAGUGGUAGGGUUCUUGCCUGGCCCCCACGGUGAAAGGCAGGGGAUAGAGCCCGGGGUAGGGGGCUUUCCUGGUACAUACAAGACCCUGGCUCCAUCCCUAGCACUCAGGUGACUUCUGUUCUCCAGUGUUUCAGAAAGGCAGCAUUUUGGCUGCCUUGAGCCUUUUUCUCUUGUUGGUGGUGGAUGCUCGUGCUACCCAGGAUCCCCAUGAAUGUGGUUGGACUUUGGGUACAUAUGAAAUCCAGUGAAAGCCUCCUCCUUCACUGGACACUGCAGAAAUUUGGCCUGGUUGAUAUUUAGUCAAGGGAGGAAGUCCUCGCUUGGAUUGUAGCUGCUUGGAUUGUAGCUACCACAUAUCUAGAACCAUCAUAUUGGAUAAGUAAGCCUACUCAAGGCAAGUGGAAUCUUUGCCUUCGUUGGACAUGGAGUCACCAACAUCAGGAACUCUGGGAGGAGAGAAGAGUGAGGGAGCCUUCCAGGCUGCCAUCAUCACCCCAUGAACUUCACCUGGUAACAACAUGGAUAACCUCUAGACACCCUCCACCCCAGGCGGCCAUCCCAGAACUCGGAGGACAACAGUGCCUCUUUAAGUCUCUGGGUGACACUUACUCAUGGACUUGUGUGUGUCAUAGUUAAUAUGAAUAAGACUUUCCUGGAUGAACUCAGAUAAAACUAAAUUACCCA